CAUUUCAAGGCCUGACAAUAUUAAGGAAGAGAUUUAUUGGAGUGCAUCACACAGCCUGAAUCCUUUGGAGUCAAGCUUUAAGAUCUCAUCUGGAAGAGAUGCAAAUAUCACUCCAGUUGGUUUGAACAAGUGGGAUACCUGAAGUUAAUAUGACCCUUUGUGUCUUUGGUGAUAGUUCUCCAAGGAGACAUUUUUAAAGGAUACUACAAAC